UGUUUUUCCCUUGCAGACGACAUGGUGUGUAAUCCUGAUAGAACGACCUGAUCAGAUGUUUUUACCUCUGGAAGCUUCUAAAGCCCUAACCGGUCUUAAACCCCUCUUCGCUACUACUAACGCUUCGGACAUCUCCAUUGAAACAGCAGAGAUCUCGAGUUUGUUCUCCAGGAUUUUCGAAAUUCGAAUCGGGAAGAAGGAACAAUGGUUUGGUUUCAGUGCGAGGAUUGUGGAGAGAAUCUUAAGAAGCCAAAGCUGCCGAAUCACUUCAGGAUCUGCAGUGCCGCCAAGUUGUCGUGCAUCGAUUGCGGAGAAAUUUUCGGACAACAUAGCGUUCAGGGACAUAACCAAUGUAUCUCCGAGGCUGAAAAAUAUGGUCCAAAGGGGCAGUUGAAGCCAUCGAAUUGCACACCGGCAAAAUCGAAGCAGGACUCAAAGCAACAGCCUGAUUUUGAUGUAAAUGUCGGGUUAUCCGAUAGGCCUCCGUGGUUUUGUAGGUUGUGCAACACGAAAGCUACGAGCCAACAGACUUUGCUUCUCCAUGCUGAUGGGAAAAAACACAGAGCUAAAGCGAAAGCCUUCCAUGCUAAACAACAGCCUCAAUCAGAACAGUCAGCAGGAGAUGAGAAAGAUGCAACUGGAAAUGCCUCUAGUGGCGAUGCUGCACAAAAGAAAAAAGAUUUACCUGCCGCAACAACAGGUGUGGUGAGCUCAAAUGAUGGGAAUGGAGACUCACUAACAAAUAAGAAAAGAAAGCUUGAGAGUUCCGAUGGAACGGGCAAUGAGGAAGUGAUUCAGGCCGAACAAGCACAAGGCCACGAGAAAAAGAGUGAACCAAAGAAGGCAAAAAAGAAAGGUGAUGAAAAGAAAAUCAAGUGGAAGAAGUUAAUCAAGUUGACCCUUAAAUCGCAACCUGGGAGAGCUUUGAAGAUGAAGAAACUGAAAAAGCUUGUUCUGAAAUCUCUGGAGGAACGUGGCAUAACGAGAGAUGCAUCAGAGAUUAACGAGAAGAUAGAGCACAAGAUAAAUUCAAGCUCCAAGUUUGCGGUUGACGGAAAACAUGUGAAACUUUUGGCUUAAAGGUUGAAUCUUUUGCAGCAGUUUGGUUGCUACGGAAGCUGAAACUAUGACCUUCACAAGACAAGAGUUAUGUCGGUAUUUAACCAAACCGAGCCCUGGUUUUCCCAUGGAUCUUUCGGGUAGUAGUUCCCGAGAUAGAGAACAACCCCAUUCCAUAUUGGAACCCGCAACCAAGGCAAGGGGAGACGCUUGGCUGCGAGUUUUUCGCGUCUCUAUCCCGAGCUUAUCUCGUGUUUUCAAGGCGUGUAGGAUCUGCAGAGAUCUAACAGACAAUGAUUUUCGAUUAGAUGUUUGAAUAAAAAAGAGUUAUAAGUAGAGCAUGGAUCGAUCAUAGAAGGCAUGCUUCUUCAAACGAGAGAUUAUAAAGGGGGGCUCUUAAAAGGGUUUAACUGUUUGUAAACGGACAGUCAAAACUUUUCACUUGUUCUUUUGCCAACUAAAUGGGAGCAAUAAACUUGAAAUAAGAUUGACUAUUAGAACUAUAA